UUCUGGGUUCUCAAUAUAGCAUAUCAAAGAGCACGCCCCGCCGAGUCCUCCAUCUCUCGGGAGGGUGACAGAAAGAAAAGCGCGCCGGCCCACCCCCGCAGGCUGGGGCGCCGGUGGGCGGCCAGGUGGGCGGCCAGGUGCGGCCCGGGCAGCCGGGGAGGGGCGGCAGGUGCGCGCUGGGAGACCCGUGCCCGCCCCCUGCCCACCUGCUGGCUUUGGGAGGGUGGGGGCGGGGGACAGGAAACCUACAGACCUUAGGCGGCAGUUUUGACAACUGUCUCUCUCGCCUGGUAAUUGAAUGCCAACCGUCUCACCCCUGAUACCUGACUCUUAUUUUUCGGGUGAAUUUUUCUAUUGCCGUGGUGUGGAAAAGGACGCGCUAGCACUGGCUUGGGAUGUAUCAAAAUAGACUUCCCAAGACAAUAUAGAGUGUUGGGGUUUGGUUUGCAUAAACUUUUCUAGCCAGAGAAAGUAUUAAAGCAUCUCCAAAAAUGUACUUAAACUGCUGCUAAAAAUCUAAGAUAGUAUUUUAAAAUCUAUUUUUCAUUACUUUAGAAAGAAAUGGAAAAAUGAAAGACUGCAAGAUCUAAUACUGUGCUCUUGAAGGAUAGAGAGCGUUAGUUAAUCCAAAACUACAGUACAGGUAGACUCGUACUUUCGCAUACAUAUAAAAUGCAGUUUUAUAUAGGAGGCCAUUCCCACAUCCUGGCUGGCCUCCCAGCCCAUGCCUACUUUGCUGGUGGGGAUACAAGGCCUUCUUUGAGAUGGGAAAUUCUUUGGGCCACAUCUUUAUGUUGCAGCAAUGGAUGGGAUGAUGAUAAUAUCGAAAGAAAAAAAUUUAUUAAAGCACUCUGAUCUUUUUUUCUUCCUUUUGCAAAAAAAAAAGUUAUUCGAAUGAAGAAUGUCAGGAUGGAAUGUAUGUCACUAAAGUUAGAUCUCUUCAGUCUUAGUGACAGGGUCUGCCUGGAAUAGCUGAGUUGAUAUUUCAAAUGAAUAAGUAUGCUUAUUUCCUCAGAUUCUUCAACUGAAGAAAUCAGUGCUGGAAGUUUCUCUCAGCCUCCCUAAUCACCAGGGGUUCUGAUGCUACAGAUCCUGUUCCGCUAAAGAGUGAAUUUAGGAUUCUUACAAUACAGUAAAGAUUAGGCAGUUUCCUGGCUGAUUGCAGAAGGUGGAGGCUAAUGAAUGUUCAGACAAUGAGAUCUGCAAAAUUCUUCGACUUCCUCUCGGGAGUCUUGAUGGUUUGCAAGACAUUGUUGGUUCUGAACAGCUAGAGAAAAAAGAACUUUCUUCCACAAGAUGUUCUGCGGUUCGUGAGUCACAAAAUGAGUGGUCUUACCUGCACUGUUGGGAUUGCUUCCAGAGUUGGGAGAAAAGACAGUAAAUCCUCUCCCCAAGCUGGUGGAUGUCUGACUGCAUGUGACUCUGGAAGGAAAUGUGUCAGAGCAGAAUGUCUUCUGACUUGUAACUGAUUGUUUCUUUCUGCAGUUAUACGCUGAAAUCUCUCCUUGUUUGUUUUCUGGGCACAUUUAGAUAGUGUGUUCUUCCCACAUUAAGAAUGGCAUUUUUGGCCCACUUUGCUUAAAUGCCCUAUGGUACUGGGGGAGGUGGUGGGAGGGAAGAAAAUGAAUUCUCUGUGUCUCUCUGUGACUACCCUGUAUUUUACAGGAGUGCUCCAAAAGACUGGAGGUAUUCACCUGUACAGGGGUCAACUCUUGAUAGAGAAGCACCAGUUCUUAUGUGGCACCUUGCUGCUUUUCCUAAACCCAGCCAUCCCUAAAUACUACCCACCCCCACCACUUGCAGUAUCUUGUGCCACUCCCAGGCCCUAGUGAUUUGUUAAGGGAAAAAGAAGAGGUGUAUAAUCCAUUCUUUUAAGGUAACAAUUACGGGUGUCCGACUAGUCUCCGAAGACUCUCUGUUAGAGAUCAGUGUCAGAGGUUUACAGUUUUUUCUUGGAGGCCACCCAAGGCAGACAUAAAGGCUAAAAUGUUUCCAGAGCUUCUGAGCGGGAGCUGACAGUGAUAAGAGCAGAAUAUUGUACGCCGUUGAAAAUAUGCGUGUGAUGCACCUUUGAAAACAAGACUGGUCGUCACCACCGAGAGAGAAGUAGAGAUUCACACUGGUGACCUGGGCUCCCUGUCACAAGAGAUCACUCAAUACUGACCUGCGGCAGACCCUUUGAAAGG